UGGGGAAUAUUGCACAAUGGGCGCAAGCCUGAUGCAGCGACGCCGCGUGAAGGAUGAAUGUCUUCGGAUUGUAAACUUCUAUCAGCAGGGAAGAAUACCAUGACGGUACCUGACUAAGAAGCCCCGGCUAACUACGUGCCAGCAGCCGCGGUAAUACGUAGGGGGCAAGCGUUAUCCGGAAUUACUGGGUGUAAAGGGUGCGUAGGCGGCAAUGCAAGUCUGAUGUGAAAACCUGGGGCUCAACCUCAGGAUUGCAUCGGAAACUGCGUAGCUAGAGUGCAGGAGAGGAAAGUGGAAUUCCGAGUGUAGCGGUGAAAUGCGUAGAGAUUCGGAGGAACACCAGUAGCGAAGGCGACUUUCUGGACUGUAACUGACGCUGAGGCACGAAAGCGUGGGGAGCGAACAGG
rnacentral:rRNA from 2 species